rnacentral:rRNA from 1 species
CAAUAGCGUAUAUUAAAGUUGUUGCAGUUAAAAAGCUCGUAGUUGAAUUUCUGGUGGGCGCGCCGGUCUUCCAAGUGUUGUACUGGGCGCAGUCCGCCAUCCUUGUGGAGAGGGCUCGCAUUGAGUUGCGUGUCGGAUCUGCAUCAUUUACUGUGAAAAAAUUAGAGUGUUUAAAGCAGGCUGUCGCUUGAAUACAUUAGCAUGGAAUAAUAAGAUAGGACUUCGGUCUAUUUUGUUGGUUGCGAACCGAGGUAAUGAUUAAUAGGGAUAGUUGGGGGUAUUCAUAUUUAAUUGUCAGAGGUGAAAUUCUUGGAUUUAUGAAGGAUGAACAACUGCGAAAGCAUUUACCAAGGAUGUUUUCAUUAA